ACGCCAGUCUGCGUGGAGCCGUCCUUGAAAUACCACCCUUUAAUGGCUGGUGUUCUAACGUAGACCCGUUAUCCGGGUUGCGGACAGUGUCUGGUGGGUAGUUUGACUGGGGCGGUCUCCUCCCAAAGAGUAACGGAGGAGCACGAAGGUUGGCUAAUCCUGGUCGGACAUCAGGAGGUUAGUGCAAUGGCAUAAGCCAGCUUGACUGCGAGCGUGACGGCGCGAGCAGGUGCGAAAGCAGGUCAUAGUGAUCCGGUGGUUCUGAAUGGAAGGGCCAUCGCUCAACGGAUAAAAGGUACUCCGGGGAUAACAGGCUGAUACCGCCCAAGAGUUCAUAUCGACGGCGGUGUUUGGCACCUCGAUGUCGGCUCAUCACAUCCUGGGGCUGAAGUAGGUCCCAAGGGUAUGGCUGUUCGCCAUUUAAAGUGGUACGCGAGCUGGGUUUAGAACGUCGUGAGACAGUUCGGUCCCUAUCUGCCGUGGGCGCUGGAGAAUUGAGGGGGGCUGCUCCUAGUACGAGAGGACCGGAGUGGACGCAUCACUGGUGUUCGGGUUGUCAUGCCAAUGGCACUGCCCGGUAGCUAAAUGCGGAAGAGAUAAGUGCUGAAAGCAUCUAAGCACGAAACUUGCCCCGAGAUGAGUUCUCCCUGAGACCUUGAGUCUCCUGAAGGAACGUUGAAGACGACGACGUUGAUAGGUCGGGUGUGUAAGCGCAGCGAUGCGUUGAGCUAACCGAUACUAAUGAACCGUGAGGCUUAACCUUACAACGCCGAAGGUGUUU
rnacentral:rRNA from 1 species